GGUUAAGCGACUAAGCGUACACGGUGGAUGCCCUGGCAGUCAGAGGCGAUGAAGGACGUGCUAAUCUGCGAUAAGCGUCGGUAAGGUGAUAUGAACCGUUAUAACCGGCGAUUUCCGAAUGGGGAAACCCAGUGUGAUUCGUCACACUAUCAUUAACUGAAUCCAUAGGUUAAUGAGGCGAACCGGGGGAACUGAAACAUCUAAGUACCCCGAGGAAAAGAAAUCAACCGAGAUUCCCCCAGUAGCGGCGAGCGAACGGGGAGCAGCCCAGAGCCUGAAUCAGUGUGUGUGUUAGUGGAAGCGUCUGGAAAGGCGCGCGAUACAGGGUGACAGCCCCGUACACAAAAAUGCACAUACUGUGAGCUCGAUGAGUAGGGCGGGACACGUGGUAUCCUGUCUGAAUAUGGGGGGACCAUCCUCCAAGGCUAAAUACUCCUGACUGACCGAUAGUGAACCAGUACCGUGAGGGAAAGGCGAAAAGAACCCCGGCGAGGGGAGUGAAAAAGAACCUGAAACCGUGUACGUACAAGCAGUGGGAGCCUCUUAAUGGGGUGACUGCGUACCUUUUGUAUAAUGGGUCAGCGACUUAUAUUCUGUAGCAAGGUUAACCGAAUAGGGGAGCCGAAGGGAAACCGAGUCUUAACUGGGCGUUAAGUUGCAGGGUAUAGACCCGAAACCCGGUGAUCUAGCCAUGGGCAGGUUGAAGGUUGGGUAACACUAACUGGAGGACCGAACCGACUAAUGUUGAAAAAUUAGCGGAUGACUUGUGGCUGGGGGUGAAAGGCCAAUCAAACCGGGAGAUAGCUGGUUCUCCCCGAAAGCUAUUUAGGUAGCGCCUCGUGAAUUCAUCUCCGGGGGUAGAGCACUGUUUCGGCAAGGGGGUCAUCCCGACUUACCAACCCGAUGCAAACUGCGAAUACCGGAGAAUGUUAUCACGGGAGACACACGGCGGGUGCUAACGUCCGUCGUGAAGAGGGAAACAACCCAGACCGCCAGCUAAGGUCCCAAAGUCAUGGUUAAGUGGGAAACGAUGUGGGAAGGCCCAGACAGCCAGGAUGUUGGCUUAGAAGCAGCCAUCAUUUAAAGAAAGCGUAAUAGCUCACUGGUCGAGUCGGCCUGCGCGGAAGAUGUAACGGGGCUAAACCAUGCACCGAAGCUGCGGCAGCGACGCUUAUGCGUUGUUGGGUAGGGGAGCGUUCUGUAAGCCUGCGAAGGUGUGCUGUGAGGC
rnacentral:rRNA from 1 species